rnacentral:lncRNA from 1 species
ACAGAGCCUGCGCCGCUCCGCAGUGAAUGCCAUCCACUGUCAUCGUAGGGCACUUUGUCAACAUUUAAUCAGCAGUACUUAUUAAUGUGGCAUUGAUGUGCGGUAGCCAUCCCCUCACUAUCAAUCACGCGUGAGCAGCCAGAGUAGACGUGGACACCAUUGCUCUUAGUCACAUUAGCCAGCCCCUGGGCUUUUAGGCCAAGCAUGAUGCUCACUUUUCAUGAAGCGGACACUCUGUCUCUUCAGUUCUACCUGACUUUUGUCAUUGUCGACUUAUGCACUUGCAGCCUUUGGAACUGGCUGAGCAUCACCUGCUCUCACAGUCCAGGAGCCCUGCAAAAUUACAGGAGGCUUGUCCAUGGUUGGACGUCACAGCACGGGCUCCAUGGGCUCAUGCUCACGUGGGUCCGACAGUUGUGAAUCCUUCAAUAGAGUAUUGUGUAUGGCCCAGAAAAAGCAGGUGAUCUUUUGGUUUCCUUUGGCUACCUGGAUGUUUCUGGAGAUUAAUCUAUUUUGAAAGCUCGACCAAUAGAAAUUGACAUUGGUGAACUAUGUCUCACGGUUUCCUCCCUUUCUCUUUUCAGCCUCUACGGCAGACACAUGCAGGCAAACCCAGAACCCCCGAAGAAGAAUAAUGACAAAUCAAAAAAGAUCAGCCGGAAACCCCUGGCAGCCAAGAACAAAUGAGGAGUUGGCACAAGCUGGGCUCCUGGCCUCUUCUCUUAACUCUUCUGUCUCUCUUGCUCUGUCUCACAAAUAACUAUAAUGCGUGUGUGGCUUUUUUUAAAAAAAAACAACAACAACUUUUCACUCUCUGUUUCUAGGGCUCACCACCUUACCUUUUACGUUCUUUUGGUAGGUGGUAGAUUUUUGUAAGGUCUUAAACCAAUUUCCAUUUAUUUCCUUAAAAUCACCAAAGGCAGGAAGCAAAGCUUUAAUUCAACUGCAAAUUCCAUACUAGGCACAGACUCAAGGUCCUUGAGUAGAUAUCUUGGGGUGGCUUAUUAUUAAAAGAAUAAUUAAAAUCAUGUAACCAUUUAAUUGUCAUGGUUAACACUUUUCACUCUUUCCUUUUAAUUCACCUAACUCUUUAUUUUGUCUCAUUCAAAGUCUUCCUUCACCACCAAGCUAUUACAUUCAUUUAACUUUCAAAUGAUUUUCAUAAAAUCUUGAAUUUGUAAUAUCACUUGUUGUUUCUCAACUAGAAUAAAGAACAAUUUGAUGUUAGGGUGUACACAUUUUUGUUUACCUUUUCUCCCCCUGAACUAUCUUAUCCCGAUUGAUUGGUCAUAGAUGAUCCACUGAACUUUCCAUGAAAGAAAAGCAAAAUGAAAUCAGAGUUUCUUCUCCUAUCAGUUUGUCAAGGUUUUUUUUUUUUUUUUUCUUCUUUGAAGACUGUUGCUAAAUUAGGCAGGAGCAGAAAAACAAAUCUCUAGGAGUUUCUGCCAAAGGAUUUUGGAAAGCAGCAUUCUUUCGGUGACUGGUAGACAAGAGCUGUGAAAAGGAGAGAAGAAAAAAACUCAAGUAUGUUUUUCAUGGCUGCAGAAAAUCUGCUCAUAUCAAAGCAUUCUUUUCAGAGACUCUGAUGCCAAAGAAGUUGUAUAAAUGUGCACAAUCUACACCACACCCAGUAUGGAAACUGGAGUGGCAGAGUCAUUAAACAACCAAUUGUUUAACAUCUGUCAUAGGCAGGCUUUCCUUCUUCUCCACAGGAUGUAGUAGGUAUAGAAAUGAAAAUCAAUCCAAGCAGGAGUCUUGUGCUCUCAAAAGGGUGGCCAACUCCUGAAUGCCUCUCCACAAUAGGUGGGUAAUGAAUUGUGGGAGAAGGACUCACCCUUCUCAGCUACUCAUCUCCUAUCAUCCCCUUGAAUUCCCAGAAGCAAGACCACUAGGACUUGUAAAAAGCCAGAAUCAAAGCAAAACAAAAAGUCCUGAAUUCCUCCAAUAGGCACUUUCCAUUUCAAGGGACUUAGCAAUUCAUCUUCUUGCUUCUGGAUAACUUCCGGAUAGAACUUUUGCUGUGGGAAAGGAAAUCCACAGGUGCCAUCACCUGCCUGGGAGCAGAGUUGAUGUAAUUUUUAUAGGUGCCAUGUUUGCCUCAGCCAAAAUAUUUUAAAUUGAUUUUAUAGUUUAUGAAAUUGCAGAAGGAAGAACAAUGUCUGUACUGUUGUUGGUUGAAACAACCUGGCUGAAAAUUGAAUUGGCAACAAAGUAUUAGUAAAAAUGUAAUAUUUACAGCUUGUAAGUAAUUUUAUUUUUCAAAAGAUGAAUGCUCUAGAUAGAAAUAUGGGCAAUCCACGUAAGUUCACAGGGAAGAAAUAUCACAAGAAACAUAAAGGAAAAUAAAACAAGCAGAGCUUCACUAGUAAUUAAAAAAUACAAAUCAAAGAAAAACAAGCAACGUGCAACAAUAAGAAAUGUGCAAAUAUUCUUUAAGUCGGUAUGCUAGAUAAACAUUCUUAUACAUGGCUAUGGUAUAGAUUUAUCUCCAGCACAGUGGUAGUAGCUUGAUAACAAGUAGAAAAACCUUAAAAUUGUGUACUUGGACCCAGAAUUCUUAUUUCUAAGAAUUUAUCCUGAGGAGACUGUCAGAUGCACUCGAAGAGCUGUGUUUGAGAAUUGUCCUUAUAGCAUUGUAUGUACAAUGAAAGCGUGGGGGGGGAGGCAGAUGCCCACCAAUUUAAGAAUGAUUUAAUCAAUGAAGCAAAUCCAUGAUAGAUUUCCAUGCAGACAGAAAAAUUGAAUAAUAUCUAGGGGCAAAGGGAGAUAAUUAUGUCCUCUGGUUAAGUAGAAAAAAAAAAAGAUUUUAAAAACUAACUACAUAAGGAUAGCCCCAGCUGUGUAAAAAGAAAAUUGUGUAUUUAAAAUAUGUGCACAUAAAAAUAUUAAAUGGAAACAGAACACAGUUUUAAGGCUGACCAAUUAUCUGUACAUGGGGGACUAAGACUUUAUUUUCUUUUUUAUGCAUAUCCUGUACUUUAAAUUUUCUGUAAUGAGCAUGUGCACUUUUGUAAUCUGAAACAUUAAAUACAUAUUUUUUCAAAACGAAGUUGGUAUAUUAUGGUAUCUUAUGUUAUUCAGAAAAUAAGACGAGAUAUUUGAAUUCAAAGCGUAAUAUAAAAUGUCAAGUUGGCUCUUUUGUUACUGAAAUGUGUUCCUACAUCUUUUAUACUCUUUUUUUUGGUUACUUGAUAUCUGGAUUAACAAAAAAUGCACAGUUUAAAAAGUGGUCUUUUAAUAAAGAUAAUCUGC